rnacentral:rRNA from 1 species
UACAGAGGGUGCGAGCGUUGUCCGGAAUCACUGGGCGUAAAGGGCGCGUAGGCGGCCUGGUAAGUAGGGGGUGAAAUCUCAUGGCUCAACUGUGAGGCUGCCUUCUAGACUGCCGGGCUUGAGCAUGGUAGAGGCUGGUGGAAUUCCCGGUGUAGCGGUGGAAUGCGUAGAGAUCGGGAAGAACAUCCGUGGCGAAGGCGGCCAGCUGGGCCAUCUGCUGACGCUGAGGAGCGAAAGCGUGGGGAGCAAACAGG